AACAAAGCCAAAACAUAUCCUGGCAAGGACGUGUCUGGGAAAAAUAGCGCGUAUGGUCACCCUAGUUCAAGACACUCUGUUGUAGUUUAAUCAAAAGAUGCUGAGAGGAGUUAGGACUCAAGCCAUUAUAUAAAGCCCACCUAUAGUCUUUGUUAGUUGGGGAGGGUCAGGUGAACGACUCUGCAUUUUGGGUCCAGGAGAGUGCUGAAGGGGUGAAAAAAAUUAAUCUACACCAAGCAACCAUUAAUGCUAUGAUAGAGGUUGAAGGUAAAACUUAAGUGAAAGAAAGCAAUUGUGUUCUCAUUGGUCCACAGAGGAGAGGCAUGGUGGUCAUAACAGCUGCUGCAGGACACCGCCGCCAAGCACCGUGUGCCUCCAAAAGAAGCUGACAGAGGAAUUGCCAAGAAAAGAAGAUACCAUUACGACUUUUUAAAAGAGAUUAUAGGACUAGAUCUGACAUCGCGGAAUUCAAGGGUAACUACCUUUUCUGCCAAACGAGGUAAGAAGGCUUUUAUGUACGCAGCUCCGACUGACUGGAAUCUUCUUCAAUGAAAACUUUGGAUCAUUUUAAAACAGUUAUUCAGCAAAUGGAAGAUGACCCCAAGGAUAUGUAACUGUUUUAAGUGUUUUUAGUCUGUUUGUGUUGUAAUAUUUGUGAUGAAACUGACUGUAUUGCUGCCCAUUUUGGCCAGGACACUCCUGCGAAAGAGAUUUUUAAUCUCAGAGAGUCUCUUCUGGUUAAAUAAAUAAAAAUAAAAGUGGUGUUUCGAGCGCUUUGAAUUUUGCAAAGCAAUUGGUUCAUUGAUUCGAUGCUUCGAAAAGGUUAAUUUCUCCCAUCACUAAUGUGGGCUAUGUGUAAAGUAUGAUGUUCUCGCUCAGGUUCAUGUAACAUGCACUUCAAGAAAUCUGUUAAAUGUUGUUGGAACUUUAAUCAGAAAAUUCCUAAUAAAUAUUACUAAAACAAGAUGCAUGCAGUUUUGAAGAAUUUAGUAAAAUGGAUUGUUUAUUCAAACACUUUAAUAACUUUUUAAAUGAUUGUAUCUUAUUAG